rnacentral:rRNA from 1 species
AAUAUUUGGCAAUGGAGGCAACUCUGACCCAGCCAUGCCGCGUGAAUGAUGAAGGCCUUCUGGGUUGUAAACUUCUUCUAUAUGGGACGAAAGGACUCUUGAGAGAGGAGUUGACGGUACCAUAUGAAUAAGCACCGGCUCACUCACUGCCAGCAGCCGCGGUAAUACGGAGGGUGCAAGCGUUGUCCGGAUUUAUGGGGUUUAAAGGGUGCGUAGGCGGCUUUAUAAGUCAGUGGUGAAAGACUGUGGCUCAACCAUAGAAUUGCCAUUGAUACUGUAGAGCUUGAGUAUAGUUGAGGUAGGCGGAAUUGACGGUGUAGCGGUGAAAUGCAUAGAUAUCGUCAGGAACACCGAUUGCGUAGGCAGCUUACUAAGCUAUAACUGACGCUGAGGCACGAAAGUGUGGGGAUCAAACA